rnacentral:tRNA from 1 species
UCCCUGGUGGUCUAGUGGUUAGGACUCAGUGCUUUCACUGUUGCGGCUUGGGUUCAAUUCCUGGUCUGGGAC